AACUCAAGUAUAGAAAUAUUUGACUUUAGGAGUCAAAUAAGGUUUUGUCCCUUGAGUUA
rnacentral:tRNA from 1 species